AUAGGGAAUGCCACUGUCACGU
rnacentral:siRNA from 1 species